AUUGAACGCUGGCGGCAGGCCUAACACAUGCAAGUCGAGCGAGCGGCGGACGGGUGAGUAAUGUCUGGGAAACUGCCUGAUGGAGGGGGAUAACUACUGGAAAAGGUAGCUAAUACCGCAUACCAUCUGAUGUACCCAGAUGGGAUUAGCUAGUAGGUGGGGUACCGGCUCACCUAGGCGACGAUCCCUAGCUGGUCUGUGAGGAUGACCAGCCACACUGGAACUGAGGCACGGUCCAAACUCCUACAGGAGGCAACUGUGGGGAAGAUUGCACAAUGGGCUCAAGCCUGAUACAGCCGUGCCGCGUGUGUGAAGAAGUCCUUCGGGCUGUAAAGCACUGUCAGCGGGGAGGCGUUGCCCUCAGAAGAAGCACCGGCUAACGCCGUGCCAGCAGCCGCGGUAAUUC
rnacentral:rRNA from 1 species